UACAGAGGUCUCAAGCGUUGUUCGGAUUCAUUGGGCGUAAAGGGUGCGUAGGCGGCGCGGUAAGUCGGGUGUGAAAUCUCGGAGCUUAACUUCGAAACUGCAUUCGAUACUGCCGUGCUUGAGGACUGGAGAGGAGACUGGAAUUUACGGUGUAGCGGUGAAAUGCGUAGAUAUCGUAAGGAAGACCAGUGGCGAAGGCGGGUCUCUGGACAGUUCCUGACGCUGAGGCGCGAAAGCGUGGGGAGCAAACGGG
rnacentral:rRNA from 1 species